rnacentral:rRNA from 1 species
CGGAUCCUUCGGGAUUAGUGGCGGACGGGUGAGUAACACGUGGGAACGUGCCCUUUGGUUCGGAACAACUCAGGGAAACUUGAGCUAAUACCGGAUGUGCCCUUCGGGGGAAAGAUUUAUCGCCAUUGGAGCGGCCCGCGUCUGAUUAGCUAGUUGGUGAGGUAAAGGCUCACCAAGGCGACGAUCAGUAGCUGGUCUGAGAGGAUGAUCAGCCACAUUGGGACUGAGACACGGCCCAAACUCCUACGGGAGGCAGCAGUGGGGAAUCUUGCGCAAUGGGCGAAAGCCUGACGCAGCCAUGCCGCGUGAAUGAUGAAGGUCUUAGGAUUGUAAAAUUCUUUCACCGGGGACGAUAAUGACGGUACCCGGAGAAGAAGCCCCGGCUAACUUCGUGCCAGCAGCCGCGGUAAUACGAAGGGGGCUAGCGUUGCUCGGAAUUACUGGGCGUAAAGGGAGCGUAGGCGGACUGUUUAGUCAGAGGUGAAAGCCCAGGGCUCAACCUUGGAAUUGCCUUUGAUACUGGCAGUCUUGAGUACGGAAGAGGUAUGUGGAACUCCGAGUGUAGAGGUGAAAUUCGUAGAUAUUCGGAAGAACACCAGUGGCGAAGGCGACAUACUGGUCCGUUACUGACGCUGAGGCUCGAAAGCGUGGGGAGCAAACAGGAUUAGAUACCCUGGUAGUCCACGCUGUAAACGAUGAGUGCUAGUUGUCGGCAGGCAU